rnacentral:rRNA from 1 species
GACGAACGCUGGCGGCGUGCUUAACACAUGCAAGUCGAACGGAAAGGCCCUGCUUUUGUGGGGUGCUCGAGUGGCGAACGGGUGAGUAACACGUGAGUAACCUGCCCUUGACUUUGGGAUAACUUCAGGAAACUGGGGCUAAUACCGGAUAGGAGCUCCUGCUGCAUGGUGGGGGUUGGAAAGUUUCGGCGGUUGGGGAUGGACUCGCGGCUUAUCAGCUUGUUGGUGGGGUAGUGGCUUACCAAGGCUUUGACGGGUAGCCGGCCUGGGAGGGUGACCGGCCACAUUGGGACUGAGAUACGGCCCAGACUCCUACGGGAGGCAGCGGUGGGGAAUAUGGCACAAGGGGCGGAAGCAUGAUGCAGCAACGCCGCGUGCGGGAUGACGGCCUUCGGGUUGUAAACCGCUUUCGCCUGUGACGAAGCGUGAGUGACGGGAAUGGGUAAGAAGCACCGGCUAACUACGUG